CUUGUACUGUUACCUGAGAAAAGCAGUAACUGAAAAGGAGAAAGGAUCAGAUAUCCCAAAACCAGGAAUCAUCCAGAGUGCAGAUGAUGCAGUUUUUGCGAGUGAGAUCGGAAGCAUAGCAAAGGAAUCGUACAACCUGUGAAUUCAGUUUAAUUACUGAGAUCAAGGAUGGUGAAACAUUCAUUAUGAUUAUACAGAGCUACAAAGAUUUAUGUUAAGAACCCAAAUUAUCAUAAUGAAUUGAGACGAGAC